rnacentral:tRNA from 1 species
UGGGCUAUUAGCUCAGUAGGUAGAGCAACGCCCUUUUAAGGCGUGGGUCGAUGGUUCGAAUCCAUCAUAGCUCAAAAG